UGAGCCUGCGAGUUGUGGUGUCUGGCAAGGUGAAGCAAACGCGAAGCCGUAGCGAAAGCGAGUCUGAAUAGGGCGCUUAGUCAGAUGCUGCAGCCCCGAAUCGAAGUGAUCUAUCCAUGAGCAAGUUGAAGCUAGUGUAAGACCUAGUGGAGGACUGAACCCAUAGGCGUUGAACAGCCCCGGGAUGACUUGUGGAUAGGGGUGAAAGGCCAAUCAAACUUCGUGAUACCUGGUUCUCUCCGAAAUAUAUUUAGGUAUAGCGUUGUGU
rnacentral:rRNA from 1 species